rnacentral:snRNA from 1 species
AGUGAACUACGUUUGAAGCGGUAUCCUUUUUUGUCUCGUUUUUUUUUACGAGACAAAAAAGAUACAAGCGGAUAGCGGGAGUAGCU